GGACACAACUCCCAGUCAUAAUAUUCUUUAUCUUGGCUCGUUGUUUGGGGAUGGACGCAUCAAUCUGAUCGCGCUCUCCUCCAUGCCAAAUGGAUCCUUCGUUCGGAGGUGCGCGGUGCCGACGAUGACAACCUUUCUAUCGACGCAAGGGCAGCAGGAGCUCAUGACGCUGUUGAUGCCACCACCAUGCACGGGGUUGAUGCAAGGCGGGACAAGUAUGUAUACCAGGCAAAUGCGAUCACUAAUGGGGAGAACACAAAACUUCAAUUGAGGGCACUGUGAUUCUCUAGCUACAUGUAUCAUAGCUUCUGCAGGAGGGCGUCACCUGCGGCAUCACUUGCAUCGACCUCUCACUGACCACCAUCCCGAGGAUGCACGACAGACUGGCGGAGCAGGGCACCAGUGAUUGUUUCACCAAUUUGCUCGACUCAUAGUUCCCUUCCUCUCUCCACACAACGUUGCCCAUUGUUGCUAAGUUGUUAAUUCAUCAGGCCCAUUAUUGCGGCUACAUAGUCU